UGAAUAAAUCUCAUAGGAGUUGGCAUGAAGAAUUUAUCCCACUUUCAAAUCAGGUGAUUCCAGUUUCCAAGUUUGGGAAUAGCAUAGCUUAUUCGUCGUUCCAAUAAAACCAGGAUGAAUCACUUUGUGAGAAGCUUGAUUUGGACGGAAUGAAGAAGUUAUCUCACUUUCAAAUCAGGUGAUUCCAGUUUCCCAGUUUGAGAAUAGCACAUCUUCUUCGUCGUUCCAAUCUAACCAGGAUGAAUCACUUUGUGAGAAGCUUCAUUUGGAUACAUAAAGUGGUGGAGAAUCACCAGGAAGUUGAAUAAAUCUCAUAGGAGUCGGAAUGAAGAAGUUAUCCCACUUUCAAAUCAAGUGCUUCCAGUUUCCCAGUUUGGGAAUUGGACAGCUUCUUCGUCGUUCCAAUCAAACCAGGAUGAAUCUCUUUGUGAGAAGCUUGAUUUGGAUACAUAAAGUGGUGGAGAAUCACCAGGAAGUUGAAUAAAUUUCAUAGGAGUUGGGAUGAAGAAGUUAUCCCACUUUCAAAUCAGGUGCUUCCUGUUUCCCAGUUUGGGAAUAACACAGCUUCUUCGU
rnacentral:lncRNA from 1 species